GAGAGGGGCAAGCAGCAACGGGGGCUGCUAAUCUCCGUCCCCUUGGUUGAACUCCAAGGCCCACUCG
rnacentral:tRNA from 1 species